GACGAACGCUGGCGGCGUGCUUAACACAUGCAAGUCGAGCGGAGCGGCGAACGGGUGAGUAACGCGUGAGUAACUUCCCCCCUCUCUGGGAUAACAGUUGGAAACGGCUGCUAAUACCGGAUAGUGGGGGUUGACUCGCGUCCUAUCGGCUUGUUGGUGGGGUAGUGGCCUACCAAGGCGCCGACGGGUAGCCGGCCUGAGGGGGGGGCCGGCCACAUUAGGCUGAGGUACGGCCCAAACUCCAACGGGGGGCAGCAGUGGGGAAUAUUGCACAAUGGGGCAAACCCUGAUGCAGCGGCGCCGCGUGCGGGAUGACGGCCUUCGGGUUGUAAACCGCUUUCAGCCAUGACGCGGUAGUGGCAGAAGAAGCACCGGCUAACUACGUGCCAGCAGCCGCGGUAAUUC
rnacentral:rRNA from 1 species